UGAGGAAUAUUGGUCAAUGGGCGCAAGCCUGAACCAGCCAUGCCGCGUGCAGGAAGACGGUCCUAUGGAUUGUAAACUGCUUUUAUACAGGAAGAAACCUCCCUACGUGUAGGGACUUGACGGUACUGUAGGAAUAAGGAUCGGCUAACUCCGUGCCAGCAGCCGCGGUAAUACGGAGGAUCCAAGCGUUAUCCGGAAUCAUUGGGUUUAAAGGGUCCGUAGGCGGCCUUAUAAGUCAGUGGUGAAAUCUCCUAGCUCAACUAGGAAACUGCCAUUGAUACUGUAGGGCUUGAAUUUUUGUGAAGUAACUAGAAUAUGUAGUGUAGCGGUGAAAUGCUUAGAUAUUACAUGGAAUACCAAUUGCGAAGGCAGGUUACUAACAAACGAUUGACGCUGAUGGACGAAAGCGUGGGGAGCGAACAGGAUUAGAUACCCUGGUAGUCCACGCCGUAAACGAUGGAUACUAGCUGUUCGGAGCAAUCUGAGUGGCUAAGCGAAAGUGAUAAGUAUCCCACCUGGGGAGUACGCACGCAAGUGUG
rnacentral:rRNA from 1 species